GACGAACGCUGGCGGCGUGCUUAACACAUGCAAGUCGAACGGAAAGGCCCGGCUUUUGUGGGGUGCUCGAGUGGCGAACGGGUGAGUAACACGUGAGUAACCUGCCCUUGACUUUGGGAUAACUUCAGGAAACUGGGGCUAAUACCGGAUAGGAGCUCCUGCUGCAUGGUGGGGGUUGGAAAGUUUCGGCGGUUGGGGAUGGACUCGCGGCUUAUCAGCUUGUUGGUGGGGUAGUGGCUUCCCAAGGCUUCGACGGGUAGCCGGCCUGGGAGGGUGACCGGCCACAUUGGGACUGAGGUACGGCCCAGACUCCUACGGGAGGCAGCAGUGGGGAAUAUUGCACAAUGGGCGGAAGCCUGAUGCAGCAACGCCGCGUGCGGGAUGACGGCCUUCGGGUUGUAAACCGCUUUCGCCUGUGACGAAGCGUGAGUGACGGUAAUGGGUAAAGAAGUACCGGCUAACUACGUG
rnacentral:rRNA from 1 species